AAAAUUAUCAAUGAGAUAUUUUAAUUUUUUUGGGACCAUCCUUGAAAUGCAGCAUGCAUUUUACACACAGUGCAUCUCCAUUUGGACAAGCCACGUCCAAGUGCUCAAUAAAUCCAUGUGGCCAGUGGCUACCUUAAUAAUGCACAGGGCAAUUCUAGAGCUCAACUACUCAAAGUGUGGUCCUUGGCCUCACGAUGUAGGUGCCCCCUGGGUCUCAUACCCACCUCCUGAAUCAGAGUCUGCAUUUUAACAAGACCCUUGGUGAAUCAUUAAGUUUGUGAUGUGCUGCCUGAUGACUUGGAAAGCUUGUUGUUUGAGAUUACACACCCUUUCCUCUAAUCAUAUUUGUGCUGUACAUUUCCUUGUCAUAGAUUGGAUAAACCAUCUUAUCAUCAUCAGAUCAAAGGUGUAGAGUUCAGUCUAGUCCUUGUUGGAAUCAGUGGCAGCCAGUUAGGUUUUUCUUAAUCAGAAAGUUGAGAUAUUUCACAAAAAAUAAAGAAAAGUCAGGCCAACGAUGAGACAGGGACGCUUUCUUAUUCGACAAUGUAAUAAAUGACACCACCAUUCUCAUCAUAGUUAUUCUUUUCUGACAUAUGUUUUGAGAAGGAGAAAGAAGGGAAGAGUGUGAGGGGGUUGGCUUAGUUUUCUAAUUCAUCAGUUUUUCGUUAUGUUAGAGUCCCUCCCCUGGGGUUGACUUCACGGGCAUAUGACCUCAGAAGGGCCUGGUGCAUGGUUUAAUGCUCUGCUGUUGCACUGUUGGAAUUCUUAGUAAUUUUUGAACAAGGCAUCCUGCAUUUUCAUUCUGCACUGGGCCCUGUGAAUUUUGUAGCUGGUCCUGCCCUCUCCUCAGUGUGAACUUAAUAUUCACCUGUAGCUAUAAGGAAGUAAGUGGAUAAGGUAGGUUUUGGGAGGAGUUCUCUUUCACUUCCCCAUCACCACAAUCUCUAUAGCCCAGGAAAUAAAAAAGAGAUAACACAGACGUUCAUGGAAUUGGACUCAAUAAUGCAUGAGAUAAUGGUGUUCUAAACCAGCUGUCCAGGAAGGCUGAAUGCUGUAACUAUGUAACAAAACACGUUCACCACAGGACAAAGAGUAAGUUUCUAAAUCACCUUGUGUAAACAGCCCCACCCUCCCAACCAUCUCUGCCAGGUUUACUAUUAUCUGCACUGUUUGAACAGAGCUGGGGUAGUCUGGGCAGGACAAUGAGUCAGCUGGGCCCAUUCAUGGUGGAAUUUUUAUAUGGGUGAAACAAAAUUUUUAACAAAGUGUGAGUGAAUAUUGGUAGUUUCAGUGCUCAGAUCUGAAAUCAAAUGCUUUGAAUCAACUCAAAGCUUGGAGACCUAAGAAAGUCAUUUAAUUUUAUACUAAUCUACCUGGUAUAAUUUGUAGUGACUUAAACUCAAAGUUUGGUCCGUGGACCGACCACAUGGACAUCACCCGGCAGCUAGUUAGAAAUGCAGAUCUCUGGCCCGCCUCAGAGCUGCUGAACCAGAUUCUGCAUUUUCAGAAGAUCCUCAGGUGAUUUUGGCUCCUAUUAAAGUUUGAGAGGUGCUGUAAUCAUGGACUCAACAGUGCAUCAGCUUAGUGCCUGAGCCCUCCCAGAGAGUGAUGGGGAAGCAAGGGUUCUCAACGAGUGGUCCCCAGGUGGGCAGCCUCAGCACCACCUGGGAACUUGUUAUAAAUACAAAUUCUCAGGUUCUGCUCCUGAUCCGCGGAAUCCUCUGACCCAGGGGAUGAGAGCCCAGCAAUCUGUGUCUUAAAUCCUCCUUUGAAUCC
rnacentral:lncRNA from 1 species